CCUACGGGAGGCAGCAGUGGGGAAUAUUGGACAAUGGGCGCAAGCCUGAUCCAGCCAUGCCGCGUGUGUGAAGAAGGCCUUCGGGUUGUAAAGCACUUUUGUUGGGGAAGAAAAGACUCCGGUUAAUACCCGGGGUUCAUGACGGUACCCAAAGAAUAAGCACCGGCUAACUUCGUGCCAGCAGCCGCGGUAAUAA
rnacentral:rRNA from 1 species